GUGGGGGAUAUUGCACAAUGGAGGAAACUCUGAUGCAGCGACGCCGCGUGAGUGAAGAAGUAUUUCGGUAUGUAAAGCUCUAUCAGCAGGGAAGAUAAUGACAGUACCUGACUAAGAAGCCCCGGCUAACUACGUGCCAGCAGCCGCGGUAAUACGUAGGGGGCAAGCGUUAUCCGGAUUUACUGGGUGUAAAGGGAGCGUAGACGGAAUGGCAAGUCUGAAGUGAAAUCCUGCGGCUUAACUGCAGAAUUGCUUUGGAAACUGUCAAUCUGGAGUGUUGGAGAGGUAAGCGGAAUUCCUGGUGUAGCGGUGAAAUGCGUAGAUAUCAGGAAGAACACCGGAGGCGAAGGCGGCUUACUGGACAAUAACUGACGCUGAGGCGCGAAAGCGUGGGGAGCAAACAGGAUUAGAUACCCCGUAGUCC
rnacentral:rRNA from 1 species